rnacentral:rRNA from 1 species
CCUACGGGAGGCAGCAGUGAGGAAUAUUGGGCAAUGGGCGCAAGCCUGACCCAGCAAUGCCGCGUGCAGGAGGACGCCCUUCGGGGUGUAAACUGCUUUUGUGUGGGAGGAGACAAGGACCGUACCACACGAAUCAGUCACGGCUAACUACGUGCCAGCAGCCGCGGUAACGCGUAGGUGACAAACGUUAUCCGGAAUUACUGGGCGUAAAGGGUCCGUAGGCGGCCUGGUAGGUCUGGUGUGAAAGCUCUCGGCUCAACUGAGAGAAGCCACUGGAAACCGUCGGGCUAGAAUCAUGUCGAGGUCGGUGGAAUUCCCGGUGUAGUGGUGGAAUGCGUAGAGAUCGGGAGGAACCUCGAACGCGAAGGCAACCGGCUAGGUGCUGAUUGACGCUGAGGGACGAGAGUGUGGGGAGCAAACAGGAUUAGAUACCCUGGUAGUCCACACCGUAAACGAUGUGUGCUCGGUGUAUGUCCUUAAGUGGAUGUGCGCCCCAGCUAACGCGCUAAGCACACCGCCUGGGGAGUACGGUCGCAAGACUAAAACUCAAAGGAAUUGACGG